UCGAGAAUCAUUCACAAUGGGCGAAAGCCUGAUGGUGUGACGCCGCGUGGAGGAUGAAGGUCUUCGGAUUGUAAACUCCUGUCAAGUGAGAGUAAAGUUGGGCGUUAACUGCGUGCCAAUGUGAGAGUAUCACUAGAGGAAGAGACGGCUAACUCUGUGCCAGCAGCCGCGGUAAUACAGAGGUCUCAAGCGUUGUUCGGAAUCACUGGGCGUAAAGGGUGCGUAGGCUGCAUGGUAAGUCAGAGGUGAA
rnacentral:rRNA from 1 species